AACAAGCAGAAUAAUGAAGGGCUUUAAACUCACACUGUGAAUAUGUCUUCACGUGGCAGGUUCUUCAGCUCUGUGCUGUUUGGUGUCUGCUUAGAUUUCAUGUGUUUCUUCCUGUGGAUGAAAAGAAAUGAAGUCUGCUGCCAUGCCAACUGUGUGGCCAAGGAGCCGGGUGGGGAAGGGACAGAGAUACAGAGCCGGGUUGGUGCUGAUGGCAGUGAAAGGGCGUGUCGGUGCGUAAAGACAUGGCACAGAUGAUGAAUUAUAUCCCAAAGUGGCCAUCUGAAUGCAGAGAAGAGCACAGAUUUCCUGUGUGCCUACGAAUGGACCAGGCCUUGAAAGAGGAGCAGAUCUACAAGUCUUGUGAUUGAAGGGCAGGUAAGUUAUAUCUCAUGCAUUCGGUAAGGGCUCCUGGGACCUCCCACCCACCG
rnacentral:lncRNA from 1 species